rnacentral:rRNA from 1 species
GAUGGACCCGCGUCUGAUUAGCUUGUUGGCGGGGUAACGGCCCACCAAGGCAACGAUCAGUAGCCGGCCUGAGAGGGUGAACGGCCACAUUGGGACUGAGACACGGCCCAAACUCCUACGGGAGGCAGCAGUGGGGAAUAUUGGACAAUGGGGGGAACCCUGAUCCAGCGACGCCGCGUGAGUGAAGAAGUAUUUCGGUAUGUAAAGCUCUAUCAGCAGGGAAGAAAGAAAUGACGGUACCUGACUAAGAAGCCCCGGCUAACUACGUGCCAGCAGCCGCGGUAAUACGUAGGGGGCAAGCGUUAUCCGGAUUUACUGGGUGUAAAGGGAGCGUAGACGGCGAUGCAAGUCUGAAGUGAAAGGCGGGGGCCCAACCCCCGGACUGCUUUGGAAACUGUAUGGCUGGAGUGCAGGAGAGGUAAGUGGAAUUCCUAGUGUAGCGGUGAAAUGCGUAGAUAUUAGGAGGAACACCAGUGGCGAAGGCGGCUUACUGGACUGUAACUGACGUUGAGGCUCGAAAGCGUGGGGAGCAAACAGGAUUAGAUACCCUGGUAGUCCACGCCGUAAAC